CCUACGGGUGGCAGCAGUGGGGAAUAUUGCACAAUGGGCGCAAGCCUGAUGCAGCCAUGCCGCGUGUGUGAAGAAGGCCUUCGGGUUGUAAAGCACUUUCAGCGGGGAGGAAGGCGUUAAGGUUAAUAACCUUGGCGAUUGACGUUACCCGCAGAAGAAGCACCGGCCAACUCCGUGCCAGCAGCCGCGGUAAUACGGAGGGUGCAAGCGUUAAUCGGAAUUACUGGGCGUAAAGCGCACGCAGGCGGUCUGUCAAGUCGGAUGGGAAAUCCCCGGGCUCAACCUGGGAACUGCAUUCGAAACUGGCAGGCUAGAGUCUUGUAGAGGGGGGUAGAAUUCCAGGUGUAGCGGUGAAAUGCGUAGAGAUCUGGAGGAAUACCGGUGGCGAAGGCGGCCCCCUGGACAAAGACUGACGCUCAGGUGCGAAAGCGUGGGGAGCAAACAGGAUUAGAUACCCCGGUAGUC
rnacentral:rRNA from 1 species